ensembl:lncRNA
AUGGAGACAGCGCCCAAAUUCCUAUUGCCGAAGCCUGGACAGUCUGGCCUCCGGCCCCCUGGCUUCUCCAACCUGCCUCCUGCCCAGCUGGCUGCCUUGGGCUGUGUCCGCAGUGCCAGUGUGUCGUCAGUGUCCAGCAACCAAUCAGACGAAGGCAGCCACCAUAGACCUUCCGUGUCCAGGAAGGAAACUGAAAGAGCAAGAGCCUCAGUGUCCCUGAAAAGGUGUGCAGUUAUCCCACCAAAACCUCAGUCUGCAGUGUUUUGUGGGGAAGCAGAAGAUGUUACACUGAUCCAGAGGCUGAAGCGACGCUGUGAGGACCAAGCCAGGCAGCUGAGGAGCCUCCAGGUGGAGCUUCAGUGGAGAAGCCAUGUCCUGGAGGUCUUCUCCAUCACCACCCAGCACUUUAGUCAGCAGGUAUGGGUCCUGAUGGCUGCUCCGCUUUUAUGUGUGCAAGUACUAGUGAAAAGAGGGAUGUGAGUAGGAUGUGUGUGUUCACGUGCUCAUGAAUAAAUGAAGAUUAUCUAACAUACUGUCAUUUCAUUAUAUCUUUGUGACAAUGUUUCUCCAUAUAUGAAGUGUAUGGAUGUCUACAGUUCAGUGUGAGGAGAUCUGGGACCCUCGUGGACGUGGAGAAACCCGUCCUUGCCUUUUGUGCUGCAGCCGGCAGAAUUGAAUGAAUCUGAUUAGUUUACAGAGGAUGACUGAAGGGUCCAUCUUGGGCCACACCCCUAGUCCUGUGGGAAUCGUAACAUUUAUAGCAAUUGGUGGUAAUGUCUGUAUAGCACUGUUUCAUCUUCCCCUUUAAAUAUUAAAAUACAAAUGUACCAAAUUAAGUAAAAACAAUUAAUGCAAAGAUGUAUAAUGUAAAAAUCUUGGACUUUAUUGUUGAAGAACGUAUAAUGAAAUCACAACCCUUCUUCUGCAAUACAGAGAUGAUGUGGCAGAAAUGUAGCCCGGUUUUCAUCAGACUCUGCCCACUAUCAUUUGUGGACAAAUAAGAAGAUCCGGAUGCAUGCGAGUGUGUGUGUGUGUGUGUGUGUGUGUGUGUGUGUGUGUAGGCAGUUGCAGUGUCAUUCUUCUGCUGCUUCCCCCCCUCUUGUUCCUCCUCUCUCUCGUUCUGUGCCCCGCCCUUUGCAACUGUGUGUGUGUGUGUGUGUGUGAGGGUAGAGAGGGUGUUUCCCUGGUAGUUCUAAUGCUAAUGAAGCUGUCUUCAGACCUAGCAUGGGCCAGAGCUGCCGUGCUUUUUGUCCCCGUCCUCCCAGCUGUCUGGAUGCCACGGUAACAGCAGGAUGAGCAGCUUCGGCACCGUAGGACACUGACUGUGUGUGGAGCCAUUUGUUUAAUCUUUUACCUGUGUGUGUGUGUGUGUGUGUGUGUGUGUGGUCUGCAGUUUUAUUAGUGAGAAUUUUUCUGCAUUUGACUGUGUGUAUGUGUGCAUGUGUAUAAGUGUAUAAGAUCAGAGACUGGUCUUUUUGUCCAUGGGUAAUAUGUGUCU